AUACGAAUGGUGCAAGCGUUGUUCGGAAGCACUGGGCAUAAAGAGCACGUAGGCGGUGGCGUAAGUCAGCUGUGAAAUCCCUCGGCUCAACCGAGGAACUGCAGCUGAAACUGCGUCGCUAGAGUAUGGGAGGGGAGAGCGGAAUUCCUGGUGGAGCGGUGAAAUGCGUAGAUAUCAGGAGGAACGCCGGAGGCGAAAGCGGCUCUCUGGACCAUUACUGACGCUGAGGUGCGAAAGCUAGGGGAGCAAACAGGAUUAGAAACCCCGGUAGUCC
rnacentral:rRNA from 1 species